rnacentral:rRNA from 1 species
GACGAACGCUGGCGGCGUGCCUAAUACAUGCAAGUCGAGCGGACCACUUCGGUGGUCAGCGGCGGACGGAUGAGUAACACGUGGGCAACCUGCCUGUCAGACUGGGAUAACACCGGGAAACCGGUGCUAAUACCGGAUAAUCCUUUCCUUCACAUGAGGGAAAGCUGAAAGACGGUUUCGGCUGUCACUUACAGAUGGACCCGCGGCGCAUUAGCUAGUUGGUGAGGUAACGGCUCACCAAGGCAACGAUGCGUAGCCGACCUGAGAGGGUGAUCGGCCACACUGGGACUGAGACACGGCCCAGACUCCUACGGGAGGCAGCAGUAGGGAAUCUUCCGCAAUGGACGAAAGUCUGACGGAGCAACGCCGCGUGAGCGAUGAAGGCCUUCGGGUCGUAAAGCUCUGUUGUCAGGGAAGAACAAGUACCGGAGUAACUGCCGGUACCUUGACGGUACCUGACCAGAAAGCCACGGCUAACUACGUGCCAGCAGCCGCGGUAACAC